UGGGGAAUAUUGCACAAUGGGCGCAAGCCUGAUGCAGCCAUGCCGCGUGUGUGAAGAAGGCCUUCGGUUUGUAAAGCACUUUCAGCGGGGAGGAAGGCGAUAAGGUUAAUAACCUUGUCGAUUGACGUUACCCGCAGAAGAAGCACCGGCUAACUCCGUGCCAGCAGCCGCGGUAAUACGGAGGGUGCAAGCGUUAAUCGGAAUUACUGGGCGUAAAGCGCACGCAGGCGGUCUGUCAAGUCGGAUGUGAAAUCCCCGGGCUCAACCUGGGAACUGCAUUCGAAACUGGCAGGCUAGAGUCUUGUAGAGGGGGGUAGAAUUCCAGGUGUAGCGGUGAAAUGCGUAGAGAUCUGGAGGAAUACCGGUGGCGAAGGCGGCCCCCUGGACAAAGACUGACGCUCAGGUGCGAAAGCGUGGGGAGCAAACAGG
rnacentral:rRNA from 1 species